AUUGAACGCUGGCGGCAUGCCUUACACAUGCAAGUCGAACGGCAGCACGGGAGCAAUCCUGGUGGCGAGUGGCGAACGGGUGAGUAAUAUAUCGGAACGUGCCCAGUCGUGGGGAUAACGUAGCGAAAGCUACGCUAAUACCGCAUACGAUCUAUGGAUGAAAGCGGUGGAUCGCAAGACCUCGCGCGAUUGGAGCGGCCGAUAUCAGAUUAGGUAGUUGGUGAGGUAAAGGGCUCACCAAGCCGACGAUCUGUAGCUGGUCUGAGAGGACGACCAGCCACACUGGGACUGAGACACGGCCCAGACUCCUACGGGAGGCAGCAGUGGGGAAUUUUGGACGAAUGGGCGCAAGCCUGAUCCAGCAAUGCCGCGUGCAGGAUGAAGGCCUU
rnacentral:rRNA from 1 species